rnacentral:rRNA from 1 species
CAAUAGCGUAUAUUAAAGUUGUUGCGGUAAAAAAGCUCGUAGUUGGAUUUCUGUUGAGAGCGACCGGUCCAUACCAUGUAUGCGUAUCUGGCUUGCUCUCGGCAUCCUCUCGAUAGGCGUUACUGCGCUUGAUUGCGUGGUGCGGAUCUCGGGACUUUUACUUUGAGGAAAUUAGAGUGUUCACGGCAGGCUUUCGCCAGAAUACAUUAGCAUGGAAUAAUACUAUAGGAUCUUGGUUCUAUUUUGUUGGUUUCUAGAAUUGAGAUAAUGAUUAAUAGGGACAAUUGGGGGCAUUCGUAUCAACACGUCAGAGGUGGAAUUCUUGGAUUGUGUUGCGACGAACUACUGCGAAAGCAUUUGCCAAGGAUGUUUUCAUUGA